GGUGAGAUGGCCGAGUGGUUAAGGCGGUAGACUCAAGAGGCUUCUCUUUACCUGUUUAACAGGUAGCAUUCUACUGGAGCAAUCCGCAGGGGUUCGAAUCCCCUUCUCAUCA